GCCACCUGCUGGAGAAGACCGAUUUCUGGCCCCAGUUAGCCUUCUCGUUUAGCCCUUUGCUCUUUGGUGAUAGCCUAGCAACUACAUCUUUUGAAAUAGGUUUAUUUGAAAGCGCAUGAAUGUCAUAUGACAUUUUUUUUGUUGUUGUCAAAAUCUACCGCAGAUGAUCUAAUCUAUGAAUUUCUAAACAACUUGGUUAUGAACAGGUUCUUAUGUUGCAAUGAUUAGCAUAGCACAAACCGACCCUCUUGAACAAACAAAUACCCAACACCCGCCCAUAAAUACGCUCCCACAGCUGUGGGGGUUACUGUAUUGGCUGUUUUCGAUUAUACAUCUCCGUUGAUUGGUACAGGGAGUGUCUUUCGAGCGGGCGAGUGCACGGUUGCCGACGAGGUUGACGCCUCUGUUGAUACUUUUGGAAGUCGGUGUAGAACAAGACGUUCUACUGCUUCAUCGAGUAUUACUUGUUCAGAUUGUGGUUCAGGCAGAAAACAAAGUUCCAGGAUGUCUCAGAAGAUUAAGGCAGGGUCGGUGGUGGAGAUGCAGGGGGAUGAGAUGACCAGAGUCAUCUGGGAGCUCAUUAAGGAGAAGCUCAUCUUCCCCUACCUGGAGAUGGACCUGCACAGCUACGACCUAGGCAUGGAGAACCGCGACGCCACGGAUGACAAGGUUACCGUUGAGGCGGCGGAGGCGACGCGACGAUACAACGUGGGCAUUAAGUGUGCCACCAUCACGCCGGACGAGAACCGGGUGGAGGAGUUCAAGUUGAAGCAGAUGUGGCGUUCGCCCAACGGGACCAUCCGUAACAUCCUGGGAGGCACUGUGUUCAGAGAGGCCAUCAUCUGUAAGAACAUCCCCCGCCUGGUGCCCGGCUGGGUCAAACCCAUCAUCAUCGGCAGGCACGCCCACGGAGACCAGUACAAGGCCACAGACUUUGUAGUACCAGGGCCUGGGAGAUUGGAGAUGAAAUUCACACCCAAGUCUGGGGAGCCAAUGAACUUUGUCGUCCACGAUUUUGAAGGUUCAGGUGGUGUGGCUCUGGGGAUGUACAACACCGACAGCUCCAUCAGGGACUUUGCCCACAGCUCCUUCCAGAUGGGCCUGGUUAAAGGCUGGCCUCUGUACCUCAGCACCAAGAACACCAUCCUCAAGAAGUAUGACGGACGCUUCAAAGAUAUCUUCCAGGAGAUCUACGAGAAGGAGUACCGCUCUAAGUUUGAGCAGAAGGGGAUCUGGUAUGAGCAUCGUCUGAUUGAUGACAUGGUGGCUCAGGCUAUGAAGUCUGAUGGAGGAUUCAUCUGGGCCUGCAAGAACUAUGACGGGGACGUUCAGUCUGACUCUGUAGCACAAGGUUACGGGUCCCUGGGUAUGAUGACCAGUGUGCUCAUCUGUCCUGACGGUCGUACAGUAGAGUCAGAGGCUGCCCACGGCACAGUAACACGCCAUUACAGACAGCACCAACAGGGCAAGGAGACCUCCACCAACCCCAUUGUUUAGAUCUGAAUGUAGCAGCCAAGAGAAAUAAAGGCAAUACAAGGACCUAGGAAAAGAUGCCCCUUAUGUGUUAUGGCGCGUGUGCGCAGCGUCCAUCUUUGCGUGGUCGCGGGGGCUGCUGCACCGGGCGAAGCUGGAUGACAACGCAGAGCUGCGUGUGUUUGCUGAGGCCCUGGAGGUUGUCUGCAUUGAGACCAUCGAGGCUGGCUUCAUGACCAAGGAUCUGGCUAUCUGUGUCAAAGGCAUGGCAAAUACCAAACGCUCAGACUACCUGAACACCUUUGAAUUCUUGGAUAAGCUGGCGGAGAACCUGAAGAUCAAGAUGUCCAACCAACCCAAACUGUGAUCUCCUUAGCUCUCAAUUACACACACACACACACACACACUGUUGACACCCGGGACUAUGGGUCCCAAGCCAACACUAAACCACUGAUGGAGGGACUGUUUGACACCGUACUGAAUCAAUCAUUCCCAUCUCCAGGAGUCUGUCUGCUAAUGGAGGUUCCUUGUCCAGGAGGAGGGGAUGUAGGCUGAGCUGAGGCCCCUCCAUCGAUCAUUCACCACUAUAGCAAAGCCAUAUCUUCUGGUAACACUCAUCCAGUCUAAGUGUCCUGAAUCUUAACUUGAGAUCCAUGAGCAUAUUCAUGUUUAUCAUGAUUUAAGAGAUCUGUGAGUUAAAUGUGAUUAUCCAAGUUAGGAUUCUGCCAAGUAUGAUCUUAUGACUGUCAAUACAUCACAUACAGAUGGUUCCAGAAAUCAGACUGGACACAGUCGGUAAUAUAUUUUGCGAUAAUUGCACCUUUAAAAAAAAAAAGAAAUUAUGAUGACGUGUGUGUUUUUAAGUGUUGUCAGUUGGUGAUCAGUAAUAGUGGAUUGUCCUGCCUGAGUUUAUUUGAGGGUCGUCUUACCCUUGUUGCCUUAUUUGUUUUAUGUCAAGUAAUUGAUCUGUGUCACACAUAAUAUAUUCCAUGUCAACUACUGUGGUAGACGAAAGCCUGCUUGAUUUUUGACUAUGUUCACGUGGUCUUUGAUUCACACAAAGGUGUUAGCAUCAUUUACUCCUUAUGGAUGGUUGUGGAAGGGGUUGUUGUGGGCCUGCUUGUUAUUUUUGUGUGUAUAAUCCAUAGCUUAACACUUUACUCCUCAAAUACAGAAACCAGUGUCAAUGUACGUCUGCCAGUAUCGGGUUGUUGGUUGGUACUCGAUGGUGUGUGUGGUUAGAAUAUUAACUCAAUAAAUAUUUUAUUUUAUUGUG